rnacentral:rRNA from 1 species
CCAGACUCCUACGGGAGGCAGCAGUGAGGGAUAUUGGGCAAUGGGGGAAACCCUGACCCAGCGACGCCGCGUGAGGGAAGACGGUCUUCGGAUUGUAAACCUCUGUCUUUGGGGACGAAAAAGGACGGUACCCAAGGAGGAAGCUCCGGCUAACUACGUGCCAGCAGCCGCGGUAAUACGUAGGGAGCGAGCGUUGUCCGGAUUUAUUGGGUUUAAAGGGUGCGUAGGCGGAAUGCCAAGUCAGCGGUAAAAUCGCGGGGCUCAACCUCGCUCCGCCGUUGAAACUGGCGUUCUUGAGUGGGCGAGAAGUAUGCGGAAUGCGUGGUGUAGCGGUGAAAUGCAUAGAUAUCACGCAGAACUCCGAUUGCGAAGGCAGCAUACCGGCGCCCAACUGACGCUGAAGCACGAAAGCGUGGGUAUCGAACAGGAUUAGAUACCCUAGUAC